UAAACGGCUUCUAUAGAAGCCACCCACAUGACAAAGAAGUGAUG
rfam:Nematostella vectensis strain CH2 x CH6 NEMVEscaffold_28_Cont4963, whole genome shotgun sequence.